AUGGAGAGACAGAUUAACCAGCAGUAUAGGCUGCAUCAAGGGCAGCCUGCCUCCUUUACCUCAUGCAGAGCUUCUUGGAAGCAUGAAAACCAACAGCAGUUGUUUUGAAGACAGAUGCAAACAUCGAAGCAAAAGCUAUUGAAAAUG
rnacentral:lncRNA from 1 species